GAUCGAACCCUAAUUCAUGUGUCCGAAGGUCAGGAAGGGAGAAGGAAAAAAGGGCACGUGUCCUCUCUGUAACCAUCUAAAACUCUUUUCUAUUCACUUCUUUCGACCAUAACGAUCUCUUUUCUUUCUCUGAAACCGUAGACGACCGAGCUUCCAUGCAUUCACGAUAAGUCAUCAACUCAAGCUUUAAAUCAGAUCUGAGAAGGCUGUCAGCCCCAAUAUCAACUCCUAUACCGCUUAAGAAUUGUUUGAUUGGAAGAGGCAGUAUUUAAGGCUCUUCAAAAAGAAACAAACUUCAAUACUUCAAGCGAUUCACUUUUUGAGGGUAGCUGGGAAAUUAGCGGCAAGUCUUAGGAAGAAUUUGACUUAGAAUGUUGAACAAGUUCAAACAUUCCAAGGCAGAACAAACCACUUUGGCCUCUAAACUACCUUCUUCCCAACUUAAUUAUCCACAGCAAGACAAUCGCAGGAAAAGACAUGUUCUUUCACAUGUUAAUUGUUUUCUGGAUUGAAGGUACUUGCAAAAAGAGUGGUGUUGGCAAGCCGAUGAAACUUUUGGAUUAAAUUAGUGCAUUGUUGAGCGUAUGUUGCUAUUCAAGAAAGAAAGAGUGUUAUAUGGAGUGUUCUUUCUCACCUAUGAUCUUAAAGCUGUAUCGAUCUCUCAAGUCUCGAACCAUAUGCGUCAUAUGGAGGUAAAAAUUGUUUUUUUUUUUGCAGUGAUAUCUAAAUGUGUGUGUUUGCAGGAAGAGGAAACAAUUUCAUGGAAGAGCGUCAAUGUUUGUGCUCGGGCUGUGAUAUGUUUCUACUGUCUUGGUUGCUUUAGAAGAUCGUCUGAGAAUCAUAGGAGGGCACUUGAAUCUCGCAGCUGAAGAAAAAGCUCCCAAGAGAAGUAAGCCACCCACCACGACUCAUGUCUUAGACGUGUUCUCCAACUGUAGGUGUUCACGGAAGUGUGGCAUGGUGUUACCAUUUCUUCCUUUGUUCAUGCAGAUGGAGGAGUGGUCUGGUCCACUAAUAAAGAUGGACGUGGUGGGCCACUAAUGGAUCUGGUCGAUGAUUUGAAUCCAUGAACAUAAUGUAUAGUUGUAAUUUUAAGAAUUGGAAAUGCAUAUAAAAUUGUAUUUUUUUGUAUUAUAAUUGGAAGCCUUACUUCUAAAAA